CCCCCCCCCCCGCUCUCUCUCUGUCUCUCUCUGUCUCUCUCUCUUUCUCUCAAAAAUAAAUACAUACUAAAAAAAUAACUUGUCUGAGGUCCUCAUACUCUUAGGAUGAUAUAAAAGCAUGUGACUUACAGGGUAUAUAAAAGCAUGUGACCCCACUUUCUCAGCUUUCAAACCUAAGCCCUGGAAAAUAAGUCAUAACCACAUAAUUAGCAAAACCACAACUUCAGUCAGUUUACAAAAAUGUGUCCAAAGACAAGCAAUGCCAACAAGAUAGGUAUAAAAAAGAAAAAAGAGAGAGAGAGACAGAGAGAGCCAGGGGAGAAAACAUAAGGUAACACUUUCUAAGGGAGGCUGGAAGUAUUUCUUACGUUUUGGAUAAAAGUUGCUUGGAUGGAUGAGAUACAGGCAGGAAUUUUGUCUUGGAGCGAGAAUGUGAGCAAAGGUUUACAGCAGCAAUAAGUUGGUACCGAAAAAUGAGGAAGAAGGCAAGCUCAGAGACCGAGAUGAGACAGAUUGCAGUGUAUGUUAUCCUGAACAUGGACCAGAAGAAAGGUGGGGUAGAAAAUCCAGAAAAAUCUAAAGGUAUCGUGGCAGGUCUCAGUGACUUGCUGGACAUAAUCUACCUUCACUGUUUUGUAAAGGAAGAGGAGGCCAGGAAUACCAAGGUAAUGGCGCUCAUGGAAAACAGUGAGAGCGUUGGGAGUGUGGCUGAGCUUUGGAGGAACAACAGAGGCAGCCAUUUCAAUUUCCAACCGAGGAGAAUCACCCAGAUAUAUGAACUUCUCUACCUAACAUUGAAAUUUCUCUUAAAAUACCUGCCACUAUGAUGAGGUAAAAAACUUCCCAACUAAAAUGCUUCAGUACUCCGCUUACAAAAAAAACUCUGAAGUUAUUCUAUACUCUUAGGAACAUUCCUAAAGCCAGAACAGCACGGGAUCAUUCUGGGGCUCGAGAAAUCAAUCUUGACAAAGGAUGACAAGAGGGCACCUUGGACCUCUGCAUUCUUCUGCUUGGCAGGACAAAUGGGCAUUGCAGUAGAGACAGGACCCCAAGGAGACACAGUGCUGGGAAAAUUCCCUGCAACCUGGGGGACAUGGUGAAGAGUCUCAGAGAUCGUGCACUGCGACCCAGUGUUCUCAGAUGCCCCGAAUGAGGCUGAAGUGAAGCUCUAAGUCAGUAGGAAACUGAUGCCCGAACCAAAAUCUCUGCCAAGGGCACAGAAGAAGUUACCAACCUGAAUUUCGUGUGUCCCCUCUUGGACCAGCUGUGUAUAUUUGUCAUUUAAAGAUACACAGGUAUUCAUCCACAGAGGAUCAUAAGCACUGGGAAAUGUCUGAAAAUGACCUACGCCACCCAGCUGAAUUGAGUGGUUGUGUCAGAUUCUGAACCCAGAUCAGAUUCAAAUCCUAAGCUCCUUCCAUUGUACCUUUUGGGGAAC